rnacentral:rRNA from 1 species
AAACGGCUACCACAUCCAAGGAAGGCAGCAGGCACGCAAAUUACCCACUCCCGGCACGGGGAGGUAGUGACAAAAAAUAACGAUACGGGACUCUUAUGAGGCCCCGUAAUCGGAAUGAGUACACUUUAAAUCCUUUAACGAGGACCCAUUGGAGGGAAAGUCUGGUGCCAGCAGCCGCGGUAACUCCAGCUCCAAUAGCGUAUAUUAAAGUUGUUGCGGUUAAAAAGCUCGUAGUUGGUUCUGCGUGCCACGCUGUUGGUUCGCCGCCUGUCGGUGUAACUGGCAUGCCGUGGCAUGUCCUGUCGGUGGUGUUCAGGAGCCUCGUCAGGCAACGAUCCGAGCUUCUGUUCGGUUUCGUGGUCGGAGGUCCAACCUGUUCGCCUACUUCUAUCCUACCUAGGUGCUCUUUACCGAGUGUCGAGGUAGGCCGACACGUUUACUUUGAACAAAUUAGAGUGCUCAAAGCAGGCUGAAAUUUCUGCCUGAAUAGUGGUGCAUGGAAUAAUAAAACAGGACCUUGGUUCUAUUUUGUUGGUUCUUAGGAACACAAGGUAAUGAUCAAUACGGACAGGCGGGGGCAUUCGUAUUGCGACGUUAGAGGUGAAAUUCUUGGAUCGUCGCAAGACGCACAAGAGCGAAAGCAUUUGCCAAGUAUGUCUUGAUUGAUCAAGAACGAAAGUUAGAGGUUCGAAGGCGAUCAGAUACCGCCCUAGUUCUAACCAUAAACGAUGCCAGCCAGCGAUCCGCCGAUGUUCCUCCGAUGACUCGGCGGGGAGCUUUUCCCCGGGAAACCAAAGCUUUUGGGUUCCGGGGGAAGUAUGGUUGCAAAGCUGAAACUUAAAGGAAUUGACGGAAGGGCACCACCAGGAGUGGAGCCUGCGGCUUAAUUUGACUCAACACGGGAAACCUCACCAGGCCAGGACAUUGGAAGGAUUGACAGAUUGAUAGCUCUUUCUUGAUUCAGUGGGUAGUGGUGCAUGGCCGUUCUUAGUUGGUGG